CAGGGAUCGGAACUGCUGAACUCACUAUACUCUUCUCUUCUGGGCCAGGAAGGGCAAGUCUUGCACUGCAGGUGACACUAACUCUUUUAGUUUGAAGUUGCUAAAAAGUGGAAUGAAGUAAAUCUCAAGAAAACCUGUGUCAAUAUUGGAAGUCAUCCAUAAUUGUAAUUCUUUCUGAUGAGGGAGAACAACCUCCACAAAAAUUGUCAUAUGAGGGCACAUUCAACUUGAAAAGCACAAU